UAACUUACCUGGCUGGGGAGAUACCGUGAUCACAAAGGUGGUUUUCCCAGGGCGAGGCUCACCCACUGUACUCCGGAUGUGCUGACCCCUGUGAUUUCUCCAAAUGUGGGACACUUGACUGCAUAAUUUGUGAUAGUAGGGGACUGCGUUUGCGUUCUCCCCUU